GCAAACUUGGUCAUUUAGAGGAAGUAAAAGUCGUAACAAGGUUUCCGUAGGUGAACCUGCGGAAGGAUCAUUCACAAAAGUGUUUACCGUAUGGACACUAUAAAUACACAUAUUCUCACUCACCAUGUGUGCAAUGUCUAUUUUUCUUGCUGCAACUCUUGUCGAGAAAAAUUGUUGUUUUCCACAUACAAAAUGUGUUUGCUUUUUUGUGUUGUUGGCCUUACAGAAUGGAAUUGUAUGAAAUAAACACAACUUUCAACAACGGAUCUCUUGGCUCUCGCAUCGAUGAAGAACGCAGC
rnacentral:misc_RNA from 1 species